UGGCAUAGAAGCGCCGCCCCCCCCCCAUCCCCCCAUCCCAGUGGCAGGAGGGUAGGACUGUAAUAUAAGGGACCCAGGCGUUCGGGGGACAGCAAAAAGGGGACCCAGGCGUCCGGGUGAUGGUAAAAUAAGGGACCCAGGUGGCCGGGUGUCCCAAAUUCAGAACCCCCCCCCAAAAUAAGGGACCCAGGCGUCCGGGUGAUGGUAAAAUAAGGGACCCAAGUGUCCCCAAAAUAAGGGACCCAGGUGUCCCCAGAAUAAGGGACCCAGGUGUUCCCAAUAUAAGGGACCCAGGCGUUCGGGUGAUGGUAAAAUAAGGGACCCAGGCAUCCGGGUGAUGGUAAAAUAAGGGACCCAAGUGUCCCCAAAAUAAGGGACCCAGGUGUUCCCAAUAUAAGGGACCCAGGCGUUCGGGUGAUGGUAAAAUAAGGGACCCAGGCGUCCGGGUGAUGGUAAAAUAAGGGACCCAAGUGUCCCCAAAAUAAGGGACCCAGGUGUUCCCAAUAUAAGGGACCCAGGCGUCCGGGUGAUGGUAAAAUAAGGGACCCAAGUGUCCCCAAAAUAAGGGACCCAGGUGUUCCCAAUAUAAGGGACCCAGGCGUCCGGGUGAUGGUAAAAUAAGGGACCCAGGUGUCCCCAAAAUAAGGGACCCAGGCGUCCGGGUGCCACUAAAAUAGAGGACACAGGCAUCCGGGUGCCCCCACCCCCAAAAGGGGACCCAGGCGUUCGGGGGUUCCCCCUCCCCCCCCAGCUCCAAAAUAAAGGACCCAGGCAUCUAGUGCCCCCCAACCACCCCCAAAAAAGGGGGACCCAGGCGUCCGGGCCCCUCCCCCUCACCUCU